GAUGAACGCUGGCGGCGUGCCUAAUACAUGCAAGUCGAGCGAACGGACGAGAAGCUUGCUUCUCUGAUGUUAGCGGCGGACGGGUGAGUAACACGUGGAUAACCUACCUAUAAGACUGGGAUAACUUCGGGAAACCGGAGCUAAUACCGGAUGAUAUUUUGAACCGCAUGGUUCAAAAGUGAAAGACGGUCUUGCUGUCACUUAUAGAUGGAUCCGCGCUGCAUUAGCUAGUUGGUAAGGUAACGGCUUACCAAGGCAACGAUGCAUAGCCGACCUGAGAGGGUGAUCGGCCACACUGGCACUGAGACACGGUCCAGACUCCUACAGGAGGCAGCAGUAGGGAAUCUUCCGCGAUGGGCGAAAGCCUGACGGAGCAACGCCGCGUGAGUGAUGAAGGUCUUCGGAUCGUAAAACUCUGUUAUUAGGGAAGAACAUAUGUGUAAGUAACUGUGCACAUCUUGACGGUACCUAAUCAGAAAGCCACGGCUAACUACGUG
rnacentral:rRNA from 1 species